rnacentral:rRNA from 1 species
CGGAAUGGAUAAGCGCUGAAAGCAUCUAAGCGCGAAGCCAACUUCAAGAUAAGAUUUCCCACCGCAAGGGUAAGACCCCAGAAAGACUAUCUGGUUGAUAGGUCGAAGGUGUAAGUGCAGCAAUGUAUUUAGCUUAUCGAUACUAAUAGGUCGAGGACUUGACCAA